CGCCUGCCUUAGUUCAUGUACCUCCUUGAUCGAUCCUGCGCUGAGCGUGCCUGUGCUUCGCGAUUUUGUGGUGUGUUGCGUUGCGCCGUGAUGCAGAGCACCACGGAGCAAAACAUGUCGCAGGGGAAAACGUUUGCUACAACCCAAGAGUCCAAGCAAGAUGAAACAGCGAGGGGGAGAUGGUUCAGUGCCUGUGUCUCACUGCCUUCGUUAACAUCAAGAUGAAGUGGCACGUAUUCAAGAGGUACGUGCACAUGAUUCCCACGGCAACAGUGCUGGAUUUUUGACAACGAUUACAAAGAUUUGAUGGAGGGUAGCAAUAAACUUCCAGCGGGGCAGGCCUUCCUCCAUCCAAGCAACCAGGGUUUCGCCCGGUAUGAGCUAAUAGUGCAUCUGACAUGCGCUCGGAACAAUAGUUCUUACCAUCCCAGAGGUCACGAGCUUCACUCCUUAGACGAUCAUCAACAGGUGGGAGGAAGGAAUAACCAUCAACGACGUGGAGGCCUACUAUCUGUUCAUGUAAAGGUGGAGGGAUCUAUCUUGCGCCUUGCUGGUGGCACAGAAGAAAGGUAUGAGAACAAGGGCAACAACUCGACUAUGUGAUGCCAAGCUCUUUAGUUGCUGGAGUUUGUUGAUCUUCUAAGUUACGGCACUGUUUUGUUUUUCUCCCAGAUGUUCACAUGCCGACAAGAUGGGACUUGCAAUUCCCAUAGUUUGUUCAUCUCCAAUUUCCCACGAAACUUUCAGGCUUUAUUUGCCUAUCAACCAUGCAUGCCAUCUAAAAUAGGUUGCAGCCUCUAG
rnacentral:lncRNA from 1 species